CAAGAGUGUCUUGUAACAAAAUGAAAAGGUUUGAAGAAGACUUUUUGUUCACUUUGGUUCUAGGGAGAUUAAGUACCAUAAAAUGUCAAUCUAAUUUAUGACCAUAAUAUAUGAAAAGGCACUCUGGGUGGAAGUACAGUCAUUACCCAAAGCCCUACGGCCUUUAUUACUACUAUCACCUGUCUAGACACUGCAGGCGUGGAAGCAUGUGCGGAAGACUCUUUUUUUUCGUAGUUGGUGUCAUCACUGGUGUGGUAAUCAACAAACGCUAUCACAUUACUGAGGCACCAACGCCAUGCUGCUGUAAGAGGACUUCAUUCGAAUCAGGCAAAGAUACAAGACUAGAUGACUUCCAAGAGAUGAUAAAAGAAGCCAUUGAAAAUAUGAAGGCUCUGGAAAGGCGGCUACAGGAGGAAUCCACCAAAUGAAGACAGGCCUGAAAAUCCACCUACACCUCCCACAUCUUCUUAGUACUCCGACAUUUUUAUAGUACUCCCAAAUUGUUAUAGUAUUCCCACAUCCUGAUAGUACUCUCACAUCUUCUUAGUACUCCAACAUCCUGAAAGUACUCCCACAUCUUCUUAGUAUUCCCACAUCCUGAAAGUACUCUCACAUCUUCUUAGUACUCCAACAUCCUGAUAGUUCUCCAACAUCUACUUAGAAGUAUUCCCACAUCCUGAAAGUACUCUCACAUCUUCUUAGUACUCCAACAUCCUGAAAGUACUUUUACAUCUUCUUAGUAUUCCCACAUCCUGAAAGUACUCUCACAUCUUCUUAGUACUAUAACAUCCUGAAAGUACUCCCACAUCUUCUUAGUAUUCCCACAUCCUGAAAGUACUCUCACAUCUUCUUAGUACUCCAACAUCCUGAUAGUACCCCAACAUCCUGAUAGUACUCUUGCAUCAUCAUAAUUCCCCCACAUCCUGAUAGUACUCCCACAUUUUCAUAGUAUUCCCACACCCUAUAAAACAUCAAGUAAACAAAACCAUGCUUCAUUCUUCUCCUGAUCAAACAUCAUAUUGUGAAUAAAAGAGACAAUCUGGCACUAAUUAUCUUCACUCAUUCAUAAAGAGAGUCUGUCGUAAGUUGUACAAGGAUGAACAUGAAGUUUAUCCUUGUUGAUUCUGCAAGUAAAGUUGUUGAAACGUAUUCUACAAAAUGGCAAUGUUCUACACCUGACAACUUUCGUUACACAUUUAUCCAUAACUGUUUGUAUUUAUUUUACUUCUUGUAUCGAGGGAGGUAACAACGACUUUUAGAAAUGGUCAGAAGUUGUAUUCUUGUUGACUUUACUUGACAGGUGGUACACUGUUCCAUUGAAGGCAUUAACAUUUGUAUUUAUA